UACGUAGGGGGCAAGCGUUGUCCGGAAUCGUUGGGCGUAAAGCGCGCGUAGGCGGCCCUGUAAGUCCGUUGUGAAAGUCGAAGGCUCAACCUUCGAAAGCCGAUGGAUACUGCAGGGCUAGAGUCCGGAAGAGGCGAGUGGAAUUCCAGGUGUAGCGGUGAAAUGCGUAGAUAUCUGGAGGAACACCGGUGGCGAAGGCGGAUCUCUGGGCCUUACCUGACGCUCAGGUGCGAAAGCUAGGGGAGCGAACAGG
rnacentral:rRNA from 1 species